GACGCCCUGAUGGGUCUUGGCAUGGAUAUCGUGAGGUGGAAAAAUUUGAGUCUUCAUUUGGAAUUUAGCUAAGGAUGAAACGGCCGUACCAUUCAAAGAUCUUCAAGGUGGAGCUUCUUUUUGCAGCCAAAACUCCAAAGCAUGUCAUUGGAAAAUGUUCUCCGUUGUCAAGAAUCAGAGAACUCUAAGAAGCACUAUGAUAUUGGAUAUCAUUUCAAGGCAGCAUGUUGCCAGACAGGGUGCCUUCUUGUUCGUCAAUUCUUUUUUCACAACAAUCCAAAGAAUUUUGCAGACCUGAGAAUAGGUGUCCUUGGAUGCAGGGGAUUGCAUUUUAGUUUCAGAGCUACAGAAAGUGGACUGAACAUUGAUGUAUCUAUUUCAAUGAUAAUACAACCAGGACCAAUUGCAGUGUAAGGGAUCCAGGUGACAUUGACUUGGCAAAUUGUUUUGGGCCUUGCAAAAUACUGGGCUUCUUAAUCAGUCAGCGAUAAUUUAUGGCUUCCCAACAAUGGGUCUUGGAAGAAUUAGCAACUCGUUCUUCGAUUAUAUGAAGAAAGAGGAAUGUUGUUCUGUGGAUGAUCCUUCACUCCGUUUUGCCGCUUCAUAUAAGAUUCAAUCUCAAUUCAAGGCUCUGUUUUUACAGGGC